UAUUGUUUGUAUACAAUAAAAGUAAAAAAAAAAAAAAAAAAAAUGAUGUUAUAUAUAGGGGUUAAGGAUAACUGGGAAGGCUUCUCAAGGUCAAACGAUGGUGCCAGGUGACUGGGACAUUCACAUCACUAUUUUUUAAAAUGCAAGAGGAGGGGCGCCUGAGGAGAAGGGAGGCAAAACCAAAGAGACUGGGUUAAAAUCUUGAAGUAUAAUCAUAGAUCGGUAUGGCCAUUCUCCAUGCAACAGUCCCUCCUUACAGAACAAGCAACACUUGACCUAGCUAAGCCAGCGAUAUUCUGAGUCUAUGGCCAUAUCUAUUAAAAAGAGUUUAAAUAAUUA